UGGCUAUAUAUUCUAUAAACUGAUUUUCUCAUUUUGACUAAAUUUCAUCGUUUAGUUUUGUACAUUUCCCUCUUCUCUCUCCUCUGAGCCAUGGAUUAUAACACAGUGCACACUUUUCUUAAGAAAAUUGUCCUAAUGAAAAUAAGGUUGACUUUUGAAUGUGGCCCAAUCUGUUCAAAAUUGAAAAACUUCUAGGUUCCGUUAUGCCUGCGUCAUCUUCUUAUUAAGUUAGCUACUGUGGGGGAGGACAUGUGAUCUUUGCAAAAUAAACUGUUGAGGAGGAACGAUGAAUUUAAGUCUGACUAAGUUUAGAUUGAAUAUUAAUUUCAUAAUUGAUCCAAAAGAUUGAAUCUUAGGAGGAUACCUUGGGUACACACUGGGGAGCCUAAGACCCUAGUUACAUCAUGUUUUAUGAGCUCUACUUUGUUGCUAAUGAGGAUAUCCAAGUGGCUUUUUUUAAAAAAGUUUUAACUCUUUAAGUUAAAAGCUGAAGAGUUUAAUUUUGAUUUGCAGGUGACUAAUCAGAGGUUGUCUGUUGGGAUGACACCCAAAACACUUAGGCUGCCCAAACCCGGCGAGAUGUCCAUGGAUCACCUCUGGGUGCUGACAAGGAAGCCAUGCAUGAAUCAGAGGAAGGUCGAAUGCCAUCUAAAUCAGUUGUCCUCCAAGAACAAGCUACACAAGUCUUUCUGUCAUCACUCUAGAUAUGGGCUACUUGAAAAUUAAUGGCCCCUUAUUAUUAAUAUUUCAGUUAGAAUUGCAGACUUUCAGUGUUGCCUUUGUCUUUGAUUUCUGGAUUUCACAAAAUUUGGAAUGGGAUGCAGCUGGAAGAGUCCUACAGCCUACAGGGUUGUCUGACUACUGUAGUACAUUUGUCUAUGUAUGGCUGAUUUGCAUUAGGAGAACGAUAAGGUUGUAAAAAUUCUUUGCACUGUAAUUGUAUAAUGAUAAUCAAGCUGUAAGUUUUAAAUUUGGCUUGUUGGAGUUUUACCAUUUCAUUUCUACCUCAAUUCAUGUCUUCUCGAUAGCUUGGAAUCCAACUAUUGACUCUCAAUAAGGGGUUCUUUCAUAGCAUAUAUUCAGCUAAUGCUAGAAAAGAAAACCCACCAAACAUGUCACCUCCAGAUGCCUGCCUGUAUUAUAUACACUAAUAAUCAUAGAUUCUACUUCCCGAUCAAGGGAUCUAAUUCAUUUUGAUUGAACAUGCUACUUAAGUUAUUAUAAAUUUUUUAAUAUUCUCUUUAACUUUUACGGAUAAAAAAAAAACUCCUUUUCAACUAUGCCUUUUUCAUAUACUCACUAUUAUUUUUGUUGCUUUCUCACGGGUGUUUUUUUCUUAUAAAGGCUUUCUCACUUGGGUGUUGAAAUCUCUCCAGGUGGCUAUUGCCGCCGCACACCAUCACAAAUGUACCACAACAACCUGAAAGAUCCUCAACCGAACUCAAAGACAAUCUACACAAUUGAUGGCGUUCCAAAGCAGAGUUCACUAUUACAGUGAAGUCUUUUGUCCAUUUACCACGAAAGCUUCGUUAUCAUCACUCAUCGGCAACUAGAAAAAUGGUGAAAGCUAUCAGAGUUGAGCAACUUGGUGACCCUCAGGUCUGUUUUUUUCUUAUUUAUG